AGUCGAGCGAAUGGAUUGAGAGCUUGCUCUCAAGAAGUUAGCGGCGGACGGGUGAGUAACACGUGGGUAACCUGCCCAUAAGACUGGGAUAACUCCGGGAAACCGGGGCUAAUACCGGAUAACAUUUUGAACUGCAUGGUUCGAAAUUGAAAGGCGGCUUCGGCUGUCACUUAUGGAUGGACCCGCGUCGCAUUAGCUAGUUGGUGAGGUAACGGCUCACCAAGGCAACGAUGCGUAGCCGACCUGAGAGGGUGAUCGGCCACACUGGGACUGAGACACGGCCCAGACUCCUACGGGAGGCAGCAGUAGGGAAUCUUCCGCAAUGGACGAAAGUCUGACGGAGCAACGCCGCGUGAGUGAUGAAGGCUUUCGGGUCGUAAAACUCUGUUGUUAGGGAAGAACAAGUGCUAGUUGAAUAAGCUGGCACCUUGACGGUACCUAACCAGAAAGCCACGGCUAACUACGUGCCAGCAGCCGCGGUAAUACGUAGGUGGCAAGCGUUAUCCGGAAUUAUUGGGCGUAAAGCGCGCGCAGGUGGUUUCUUAAGUCUGAUGUGAAAGCCCACGGCUCAACCGUGGAGGGUCAUUGGAAACUGGGAGACUUGAGUGCAGAAGAGGAAAGUGGAAUUCCAUGUGUAGCGGUGAAAAUGC
rnacentral:rRNA from 1 species